rnacentral:rRNA from 1 species
GACGAACGCUGGCGGCGUGCUUAACACAUGCAAGUCGAACGGAAAGGCCCUGCUUUUGUGGGGUGCUCGAGUGGCGAACGGGUGAGUAACACGUGAGUAAUCUGCCCUUGACUUUGGGAUAACUUCCGGAAACUGGGGCUAAUACCGGAUAGGAGCUCCUGCUGCAUGGUGUGGGUUGGAAAGUUUCGGCGGUUGGGGAUGGACUCGCCGCUUAUCAGCUUGUUGGUGGGGUAGUGGCUUACCAAGGCGUUGACGGGUAGCCGGCCUGAGAGGGUGACCGGCCACAUUGGGACUGAGAUACGGCCCAGACUCCUACGGGAGGCAGCAGUGGGGAAUAUUGCACAAUGGGCGGAAGCCUGAUGCAGCGACGCCGCGUGCGGGAUGACGGCCUUCGGGUUGUAAACCGCUUUCGCCUGUGACGAAGCGUGAGUGACGGUAAUGGGUAAAGAAGCACCGGCUAACUACGUG